rnacentral:rRNA from 1 species
CCAAUAGCGUAUAUUAAAGUUGUUGCAGUUAAAAAGCUCGUAGUUGAAUUUUAGGCCUGGCCGGGCGGUCCGUCUUUGGCGAGUACUGUCCUGUGUCGGGUCUUCCUUCUGGUGAACCAGUAUGUCCUUUAUUGGGUGUGCCGGGGAGCCAGGACCAUUACCUUGAAAAAAUUAGAGUGUUUAAAGCGGGCUAUUGCUUGAAUAGAUUAGCAUGGAAUAAUAGAAUAGGACGUUGUGGUUCUAUUUUGUUGGUUUCUAGGACCACCGUAAUGAUUAAUAGGGAUAGUUGGGGGCAUUAGUAUUCAAUUGUCAGAGGUGAAAUUCUUGGAUUUAUUGAAGACUAACUACUGCGAAAGCAUUUGCCAAGGAUGUUUUCAUUAAUCAAGAACGAAAGUUAGGGGAUCGAAGACGAUCAGAUACCGUCGUAGUCUUAACCAUAAACUAUGCCGACUAGGAAUCGGGCGACGUUAUUUUAAUGACUCGCUCGGCGCCUUAUG